GAGGGUACAGCUCAGUGGCAGAGCACAUGCUUAGCAUGCAUGAGGUCCUGGGUUCAAUCCCCAGUACCUCCA
rnacentral:tRNA from 1 species